GACCUGAGAGGGUGAUCGGCCACACUGGGACUGAGACACGGCCCAGACUCCUACGGGAGGCAGCAGUAGGGAAUCUUCCGCAAUGGACGAAAGUCUGACGGAGCAACGCCGCGUGAGUGAUGAAGGUUUUCGGAUCGUAAAACUCUGUUGUUAGGGAAGAACAAGUGCCGGAGUAACUGCCGGUACCUUGACGGUACCUAACCAGAAAGCCACGGCUAACUACGUGCCAGCAGCCGCGGUAAUACGUAGGUGGCAAGCGUUGUCCGGAAUUAUUGGGCGUAAAGCGCGCGCAGGCGGUUCCUUAAGUCUGAUGUGAAAGCCCCCGGCUCAACCGGGGAGGGUCAUUGGAAACUG
rnacentral:rRNA from 1 species